GGACCCGCACAAGUAGUGGAGCAUGUGGUUUAAUUCGAAGAUACGCGCAGAACCUUACCAACACUUGACAUGUUCGUCGCGACUUUAAGAGAUUAAAGUUUUCGGUUCGGCCGGACGAAACACAGGUGCUGCAUGGCUGUCGUCAGCUCGUGUCGUGAGAUGUUGGGUUAAGUCCCGCAACGAGCGCAACCCUCACUUUUAGUUGCCAUCAUUUAGUUGGGCACUCUGAAAGAACUGCCAGUGAUAAGCUGGAGGAAGGUGGGGAUGACGUCAAGUCCUCAUGGCCCUUACGUGUUGGGCUACACACGUGCUACAAUGGUAUCCACACAGGAAGCGAAACAGCGAUGUU
rnacentral:rRNA from 1 species